UCGCUAGUAAUCGCGCAUCAGCCAUGGCGCGGUGAAUACGUUCCCGGGCCUUGUACACACCGCCCGUCAAGCCAUGGGAGCCGGGGCGCCUGAAGUCCGGGACCGCGAGGACCGGCCUAGGGCGAAACUGGUAACUGGGGCUAAGUCGUAACAAGGUAAC
rnacentral:rRNA from 1 species